UGGCUACUCCCUCCGUUCGGAAUUACUCGUCCAAGAAAUGAAUGUAUCUAGAUGUAUUUUAGUUGUAGAUACAUCCAUUUUUGUGACAAGUAAUUCCGAACGGAGGGAGUAGAUC
rnacentral:pre_miRNA from 1 species